rnacentral:rRNA from 1 species
AGAGUUUGAUCAUGGCUCAGGACGAACGCUGGCGGCGUGCUUAACACAUGCAAGUCGAACGAUGAAGCCCUUCGGGGUGGAUUAGUGGCGAACGGGUGAGUAACACGUGGGUAACCUGCCCUUGGCUUUGGGAUAAGCCCUGGAAACGGGGUCUAAUACCGGAUAUGACCUUCAGUCGCAUGGCUGUUGGUGGAAAGUUCCGGCGGCCAGGGAUGGGCCCGCGGCCUAUCAGCUUGUUGGUGGGGUGAUGGCCUACCAAGGCGACGACGGGUAGCCGGCCUGAGAGGGCGACCGGCCACACUGGGACUGAGACACGGCCCAGACUCCUACGGGAGGCAGCAGUGGGGAAUAUUGCACAAUGGGCGAAAGCCUGAUGCAGCGACGCCGCGUGAGGGAUGACGGCCUUCGGGUUGUAAACCUCUUUUAGUAGGGAAGAAGCGAAAGUGACGGUACCUGCAGAAAAAGCACCGGCUAACUACGUGCCAGCCGCCGCGGUAAUAC